CAUUUAAUGAAAAGCUGCUGCAGAGGAAGGCCAACAAACACUUUGAAGUGGCACGGUAACCUUUACAAUUGAGUUUAAAAUGCAUUAAAACUGGUUAAAGUGAAAUAUCUGAAGGAGAAAUAAACGAACAAAUCAUAUCCGUCUCUUUCCCUCAAAGAACCUAUUCUCAGGGAACAAUAAAAACUUUCUAGCUUGAGAAUGAAAAACAGUAAACCCCAAAAGCACACGCAAAAAGAAUGAUGCCGACAGAGGUCGUACGAGAAAGGACUUACUUGUCACAACGAGAUCAACGGCGAUUGGAAAUGUCACGCUUGGAUCCUUCUCGCAAAUGCUCCUUCGUCCGUCGACUCAUCUCCGGCGCACUCUGGAUCGUCUGCUUGGGUAUCACUAGGAUUCUUCAGAGCGGCGUCAAAAUGAAGCCCUGGUAUUCUCUACGAAAAUGCAGUUUCUAAGGGUUUUGAGAUCAAAAGAGGUCUCUGCCAAAUCCCUUUUGAUGUGCUCAGUCAGGAUUGGCCUUACUUGAUGCUAAAUCAGAACCGUAAAAACGACGAAGACAUGAAGAGAUUUGGUUUUCACCUUGUCCCAUUCCAAAAUCUGUUAUUUCUUGAGCCAACUAAAUUAGAGGCAG